rnacentral:rRNA from 1 species
UACGUAGGUGGCAAGCGUUAUCCGGAAUUACUGGGCGUAAAGCGCACGCAGGCGGUCUUUUAAGUUUGACGUGAAAGCUCCCGGCUUAACUGGGAGAGGUCGUUGAAGACUGGAAGACUUGAGGCAAUGAGAGGGGUGUAGAAUUCCCGGUGUAGUGGUGGAAUGCGUAGAUAUCGGAAGGAACAUCAGUGGCGAAAGCGACUUCCUGGACCAAUACUGACGCUCAUGUGCGAAAGCGUGGGGAGCAAACAGG